AAUGAACGCUGGCGGCGCGCCUAAUACAUGCAAGUCGAGCGAGAAGACGUAGCAAUACGUUUGUAAAGCGGCGAACGGGUGAGGAAUACAUGGGUAACCUACCCUCGAGUGGGGAAUAACUAGCCGAAAGGUUAGCUAAUACCGCGUACGCUCCUUGGACUUCGGUUCAGGGAGGAAAGCGAUACCGUGGGUAUCGCGCUCUUGGUUGGGCUCAUGUCCUAUCAGCUUGUUGGUGAGGAACGGCUCACCAAGGCUUCGACGGGUAGCUGGUCUGAGAGGACGAUCAGCCACACUGGCACUGCGACACGGGCCAGACUCCUACGGGAGGCAGCAGUAAGGAAUAUUGCGCAAUGGGCGAAAGCCUGACGCAGCGACGCCGCGUGGGGGAUGAAGGUCUUCGGAUUGUAAACCCCUUUCGGGAGGGAAGAUGGAACGAGCAAUCGUUCGGACGGUACCUCCAGAAGCAGCCACGGCUAACUUCGUGCCAGCCGCCGCUGU
rnacentral:rRNA from 1 species